GAUGAACGCUGGCGGCGUGCCUAAUACAUGCAAGUCGAGCGAACAGAUAAGGAGCUUGCUCCUUUGACGUUAGCGGCGGACGGGUGAGUAACACGUGGGUAACCUACCUAUAAGACUGGGAUAACUUCGGGAAACCGGAGCUAAUACCGGAUAACAUUUGGAACCGCAUGGUUCUAAAGUGAAAGAUGGUUUUGCUAUCACUUAUAGAUGGACCCGCGCCGUAUUAGCUAGUUGGUAAGGUAACGGCUUACCAAGGCGACGAUACGUAGCCGACCUGAGAGGGUGAUCGGCCACACUGGAACUGAGACACGGUACAGACUCCUACGGGAGGCAGCAGUAGGGAAUCUUCCGCAAUGGGCGAAAGCCUGACGGAGCAACGCCGCGUGAGUGAUGAAGGGUUUCGGCUCGUAAAACUCUGUUAUUAGGGAAGAACAAACGUGUAAGUAACUGUGCACGUCUUGACGGUGCCUAAUCAGAAAGCCACGGCUAACUACGUG
rnacentral:rRNA from 1 species